GACGAACGCUGGCGGCGUGCUUAACACAUGCAAGUCGAACGGAAAGGCCCUGCUUUUGUGGGGUGCUCGAGUGGCGAACGGGUGAGUAACACGUGAGUAACCUGCCCUUGACUUUGGGAUAACUUCAGGAAACUGGGGCUAAUACCGGAUAGGAGCUCCUGCUGCAUGGUGGGGGUUGGAAAGUUUCGGCGGUUGGGGAUGGACUCGCGGCUUAUCAGCUUGUUGGUGGGGUAGUGGCUUACCAAGGCUUUGACGGGUAGCCGGCCUGAGAGGGUGACCGGCAACAUUGGGACUGAGAUACGGCCCAGACUCCUACGGGAGGCAGCAGUGGGGAAUAUUGCACAAUGGGCGGAAGCCUGAUGCAGCAACGCCGCGUGCGGGAGGACGGCCUUCGGGUUGUAAACCGCUUUCGCCUGUGACGAAGCGUGAGUGACGGUAAUGGGUAAAGAAGCACCGGCGAACUACGU
rnacentral:rRNA from 1 species